AUCCAGCUGACGAGUCCCAACGGGGAUGAAACGCACGUCCUGGAU
rnacentral:hammerhead_ribozyme from 1 species